rnacentral:rRNA from 1 species
CCUACGGGGCGCUGCAGUGGGGAAUAUUGGACAAUGGGCGAAAGCCUGAUCCAGCCAUGCCGCGUGUGUGAAGAACGCCUUCGGGUUGUAAAGCACUUUCAGUGGGGAAGAAAGCCUUGGGGCUAAUACCCUCGAGGAAGGACAUCACCCACAGAAGAAGCACCGGCUAACUCCGUGCCAGCAGCCGCGGUAAUACGGAGGGUGCGAGCGUUAAUCGGAAUUACUGGGCGUAAAGCGCGCGUAGGCGGUCUGAUAAGCCGGUUGUGAAAGCCCCGGGCUCAACCUGGGAACGGCAUCCGGAACUGUCAGGCUAGAGUGCAGGAGAGGAAGGUAGAAUUCCCGGUGUAGCGGUGAAAUGCGUAGAGAUCGGGAGGAAUACCAGUGGCGAAGGCGGCCUUCUGGACUGACACUGACGCUGAGGUGCGAAAGCGUGGGUAGCAAACAGGAUUAGAUACCCGGGUAGUC